UGCUGACGAGCUAGCUUUAACCCUCGAACCUAACGUUACCACAUAAACUAAACCCCAAAUUAUCUGAAACUCCACAAACAAAUCAUUUUUCCUCCCAAGUACGGGCGACGAAAAAGGAAGCCUAAAGCAAUAGAAAAAGUACCGCAAGGGAAUGCUGAAAAAGAAAUGAAAUAAACCAGUAAAGCUUGGAAAAGCAGAGACUCACCCUCGUACCUUUUGCAUCAUGAUUUAGCCAGUAACCAUCAAGCAAAGUGCACUUUAGUUUGAUUUCCCGAACCUACGCGAGCUACUCCAAGACAGCCUGUUUAGAGGGCAAACCCGUCUCUGUGGCAAAAGAGUGGGGAGAUCUUCGAGUAGAGGUGACAGACCUAUCGAGCCUAGUUAUAGCUGGUUGCCUAAGACCUGAAUAGGAGUUCAGCCUCUUGGCUUCUUAAUUCCCACUACCUAUUUCCUUCCUCAAUCCCACGAUAUUAAAGAAACCCUGAGAGUUAUUCAAAGGGGGUACAGCCCCUUUGAAACAAGAUACAACUUUUUGAAAAGGCUAAAGAUCACACCCCACCCUAAGGUUAGAUGUUCGAGUGGGCCUAAAAGCAGCCACCUCCUAGAAAGCGUUAUAGCUCAGACAUCCUUCUUACCUAUAAUCCCACCAAAAUAAUCUUAAGCCUUUAAAUUUAUUAGGCCUUCCCAUGCCCCCAUGGGAACGACCAUGCUAAAAUGAGUAAUAGGAAGGGCCAACGCCUUUCUCCCCGCACAAGUGUACAUCGGAACGAACAAAGCCCCGAACCUUAACGAACCCAAUCAAAGAGAAGAAUGAAAGUCCCGAAAAGAAGCAAGAAAAUUAUUCAAUGCAACAUCGUUAAACCCACACUGGAGUGCACCCCCGGGAAAGACUAAAAGAAAGAGAAGGAACUCGGCAAACACAUGAAGCCUCGCCUGUUUACCAAAAACAUCGCCUCUUGCAAACAACGAAUAAGAGGUCCCGCCUGCCCAUUGACUAUAAGUUUAACGGCCGCGGUAUUUUGACCGUGCAAAGGUAGCGCAAUCACUUGUCCUUUAAAUGAAGACCGGUAUGAAUGGCAUCACGAGGGCUUUACUGUCUCCUUUUUCCAGUCAAUGAAAUUGAGCUCUCCGUGCAGAAGCGGGGAUCAAACCAUAAGACGAGAAGACCCUAUGGAGCUUUAGACUCAAUGGGCAGACUAUGUUAAAUACUCUUAGACAAAAGACCGAACGGUAUAAACACUGUCCCAAUGUCUUUGGUUGGGGCGACCCUGGGGAACAAAAAUCCCCCAUGAAGACAGGGAGAACAUUUUUUACUACUCCUACAAACAAGAACGACAGCUCUAGUUAACAGAAAAAUCUGACUUUUUAAGAUCCGGCAUACGCCGAUCAACGGACCGAGUUACCCUAGGGAUAACAGCGCAAUCCUCUUUCAGAGCUCCUAUCGACAAGAGGGUUUACGACCUCGAUGUUGGAUCAGGACAUCCUAAUGGUGCAGCCGCUAUUAAGGGUUCGUUUGUUCAACGAUUAACAGUCCUACGUGAUCUGAGUUCAGACCGGAGUAAUCCAGGUCAGUUUCUAUCUAUGAAGUAUCCUUCUCUAGUACGAAAGGACCGAGAGGGAGAGGUCUAUACUUGAAGCACACCUCACCCCUACCUGCUGAAGUCAACUAAAGCAGGUUAAGGGAAACAUAAUCCCGCCUAAGAAAACGGCGU
rnacentral:rRNA from 1 species